GGAUGAACGCUAGCUACAGGCUUAACACAUGCAAGUCGCGGGGCAGCAUGGGGGUUGCUUGCAAUCCCCGAUGGCGACCGGCGCACGGGUGAGUAACGCGUAUCCAACCUGCCCUUCACCACGGGAUAACCCGGCGAAAGUCGGACUAAUACCGUAUGUUGUCCAUUGACGGCAUCCGAUUUGGACGAAAGGCUUGGCGGUGAGGGAUGGGGAUGCGUCCGAUUAGCCAGACGGCGGGGUAACGGCCCACCGUGGCUACGAUCGGUAGGGGUUCUGAGAGGAAGGUCCCCCACACUGGAACUGAGACACGGUCCAGACUCCUACGGGAGGCAGCAGUGAGGAAUAUUGGUCAAUGGGCGUAAGCCUGAACCAGCCAAGUAGCGUGCAGGAUGACGGCCCUAUGGGUUGUAAACUGCUUUUAUGCGGGGAUAAAGUGGCCCACGUGUGGGCUUUUGCAGGUACCGCAUGAAUAAGGACCGGCUAAUUCCGUG
rnacentral:rRNA from 1 species